CGAAGGGAAACCGAGUCUUAACCGGGCGUUAAGUUGCAGGGUAUAGACCCGAAACCCGGUGAUCUAGCCAUGGGCAGGUUGAAGGUUGGGUAACACUAACUGGAGGACCGAACCGACUAAUGUUGAAAAAUUAGCGGAUGACUUGUGGCUGGGGGUGAAAGGCCAAUCAAACCGGGAGAUAGCUGGUUCUCCCCGAAAGCUAUUUAGGUAGCGCCUCGUGAACUCAUCUUCGGGGGUAGAGCACUGUUUCGGCUAGGGGGUCAUCCCGACUUACCAACCCGAUGCAAACUGCGAAUACCGAAGAAUGUUAUCACGGGAGACACACGGCGGGUGCUAACGUCCGUCGUGAAGAGGGAAACAACCCAGACCGCCAGCUAAGGUCCCAAAGUCACAGUUAAGUGGGAAACGAUGUGGGAAGGCUCAGACAGCCAGGAUGUUGGCUUAGAAGCAGCCAUCAUUUAAAGAAAGCGUAAUAGCUCACUGGUCGAGUCGGCCUGCGCGGAAGAUGUAACGGGGCUAAACUGUGCACCGAAGCUGCGGCAGCGACGCUUAUGCGUUGUUGGGUAGGGGAGCGUUCUGUAAGCCUGCGAAGGUGUCCUGUGAGGGAUGCUGGAGGUAUCAGAAGUGCGAAUGCUGACAUAAGUAACGAUAAUGCGGGUGAAAAGCCCGCUCGCCGGAAGACCAAGGGUUCCUGUCCAACGUUAAUCGGGGCAGGGUGAGUCGACCCCUAAGGCGAGGCCGAAAGGCGUAGUCGAUGGGAAACGGGUUAAUAUUCCCGUACUUGGUGUUACUGCGAAGGGGGGACGGAGAAGGCUAUGUUGGCCGGGCGACGGUUGUCCCGGUUUAAGCGUGUAGGCUGGUUUUCCAGGCAAAUCCGG
rnacentral:rRNA from 1 species